AUGCUUGCUUGCUUGCUUGCACCUUUUCAACCCAGGCUCCUAGCCAUCAGCGUGCUUGCAAGUCAUAAAGAGCUUCAACUUUCCGUGACAGAAUCUUCAAAGCUCACGACGCACAAACGAGAGGACUCGGAAGAAACUUUGUCCACCGUCAAGGCAAGAGCUGUGGAAUCUCUCAAAAUCGCCGGGCAGUCAACCAACCAAUCAAGGCAAAGGGCAUCCCCAGACGUCAUCUACGCAACCGCGAAUCCCCCUUUCCCCUUUCAGCUCAACGCGAGCCAAGGAGACGAAACGACACCGCGGCCAGCAGCACAACCACAAAGACGACGGGUUUGAGCAGCCGAAACUCCUCGCUUCGCUCAUCCACCUGGUAAUCAUGGUUCUCAAACAUCACCUUGAAACGGUCGUCCAUCAGGGUAUUGGCUACGGCCUUGAGAGAAAAACAGAUAAGAGCAGACUGAGACAAGGAGUGAGUGAGUCAACAGGAUUAAAACACUUGACUAAAAUAUUCCAGCAGUGUGGAAAUGCGUCAAAGAAACAUUGCCCUUUUCUUCUUCUUCUUCUUGGUUGAAAGCUCACUUUCUUCCAUGAGUUUCAUGGCCAGUUCCUUGUUGACCUUGGACAGCUUCUGUUAGAGAACACAAGUCGGAGAAUGACGUCAAAAGAGAAUGAGUCAAAGCACUGAUGAUAACAGACGAUGAGAGCCCCAUGUGGAACAAGUGUAUGGACAGAAUGGUGAUCUAGUGUCACCAUUUGAUUUGUGAAAAACUACCAGACACACACUCAGAGAUAUUCACUACAACAUACCAUUAAUACAUGUUUAGUUUAACUUGAGCAAAUUGUGAAAGGAAUAUAUUAUAUAGCAGAAUGUACUUCUCAAAGUAAUAAUUCUAAUUAUAAUAAAAUGAUAAAAGUAAUAUCUGACAAUAUUUCUGACACUAAAAAUAAAAAGGAAAUACGUUUUAAAUGAAAUACACUUUUAUUAAAUAAUUCAUGUUUUAUGAGUUUAUUUGAUUACCACUGGCUUUGAAAACAGACAUGGCAAUGCUUCUGAAACUAAAACAAUUAAUAUUAUUGCAAACAUUUUAAUAAACUAUUUGAGUGAUUAUAUUUUAUGAUUUCAAAUGAUUAUUAAUAUUUUAAUAAAAUAAAAUGGAAAAC
rnacentral:lncRNA from 1 species